rnacentral:rRNA from 1 species
CCUACGGGAGGCCGCAGUGGGGAAUAUUGCACAAUGGGGGGCACCCUGAUGCAGCAAUGCCGCGUGGGUGCAGAAGCACUCCGGUGCGUAAAGCCCUGUCAGCAGGGAAGAAAAUGACAGUACAUGGACAAGAAGCCCCGGCUACCUACGUUCCAUCAGCCGCGGUAAUACGGAGGGGGCAAGCGUUAUCCGGAUUUACUGGGUGUAAAGGGAUCGCAGGCGGCGUGGCAAGUCAGAUGUGAAAACCCGGGGCCCAACCCCGGGAGUGCAUUUGACACUGCCAUGCUGGAGUGCCGGAGAGGUAAGCGGAAUUCCUAGUGUAGCGGGGAAAUGCGUAGAUAUGAGGAGGAACACCAGUGGCGGAGGCGGCUUACUGGACGGUAACUGACGCUGAGGCUCGAAAGCGUGGGGAGCAAACAGGAUUAGAUACCCGUGUAGUC